rnacentral:rRNA from 1 species
UGCCAGCCGCCGCGGUAAUACGUAAGGGGCAAGCGUUAUCCGGAUUUAUUGGGCAUAAAGGGCGCGUAGGUGGUCUUUUAAGUAAGUUGUUAAAGGCAUCGGCUCAACCGAUGUUUGCAUCUUAAACUGAAAGACUAGAGGACAGUAGAGGAAAGCGGAACUCAUAGUGUAGCGGUGAAAUGCGUAGAUAUUAUGAGGAACACCAGUUGCGAAGGCGGCUUUCUGGCCUGAUCCUGACACUGAGGCGCGAAAGCGUGGGGAGCGAACGGGAUUAGAUA